AGGGGAUCGCAAGACCUUGCGCUUUUGGAGCGGCCGAUGUCUGAUUAGCUAGUUGGUGGGGUAAAGGCUUACCAAGGCUACGAUCAGUAGUUGGUCUGAGAGGACGACCAGCCACACUGGGACUGAGACACGGCCCAGACUCCUACGGGAGGCAGCAGUGGGGAAUUUUGGACAAUGGGCGAAAGCCUGAUCCAGCCAUGCCGCGUGAGUGAAGAAGGCCUUCGGGUUGUAAAGCUCUUUCAGUCGAGAAGAAAAGAUUGCGACUAAUAAUCGCAAUUCAUGACGGUAUCGAAAGAAGAAGCACCGGCUAACUACGUGCCAGCAGCCGCGGUAAUACGUAGGGUGCUAGCGUUAAUCGGAAUUACUGGGCGUAAAGGGUGCGCAGGCGGCUUUGUAAGUCAGAUGUGA
rnacentral:rRNA from 1 species